UUCACAGAACGAAGGGCCAGGGUCGGCCUCGUGUAUCCAAUGGUGGCAUUGAGAGAGUGCGUGAGCCGUGAACUGCACAUGCCUCAACCGGCAAUUUGGAAAAUCUUACGUCAGCGUCUGAAAGUGAAGCCGCCGGCCGCCCACUGACAAUAUUUCCCUUCGCAUCUUCUGCUCAGAAACUUUGGAACGUGAUAACGACUUCUUGAACUCAAUAAUUUUUAGCGAAGUGUGCAUUGUAUUUAUCUGGAAAAGGUUAUCCGACAACAUGUUAGAAUUUGAGGAACGGAGCCAUCGCGACACGAACGAGAUAGUGCUAAGUUCAAUGUUUUCUGUGCAAUGAGCGAAGAUCGAAUAUGCGGUCCUUACUUCGCGGAACGCACGGUUUCCGGCUUUUUCUCUCUAUAUGUGCUCGAGAAUUACCAUAUGCCACAGCUGCAGGACAUGGAGGGACAAGUGAUCUUCCAGCAGGACGGCGCUCCUCCCCCAUUUUCACACAGAACUGAGACAGUUCUUCCAUACAACUUUCCCAAGAAUGGAUUGAUUGGUCGAGGCGGUACUAUCUCGUGGCUAUCAAGGUCACCGGAUCUUACUCCAAUAGAUUUCCACCUGUGGGGCUAUGUCAAGGAUCACAUUUAUGUUUUGCCUCACCCACAGACACUGGAUUUGCUGAGAGACUGAAUUGUUGCUACCGUGACCAUUGUGGAUAGAACCAUGCUGCAGAGAAAGUGUGACAAGAUUUCCUGCAGUUGGGAUAUUUGCUAUGUUACCCAAGGGAACUACAUCAAGCACCUGUAGAUGAAGACUUAAGGUUUUUACGGCAGUGAGAACGAAGACGAGUCCAAAGUUGUCCACAGGAUAAAAGAAAUGGCAGUCUUCCUUGGGGAAGGACCACAGACUUGACGUGUCUGUACAGAAGCAUGCCGAUUUAGAUGAAGGUAAUGCCGAUAAACAGGAUGGCGACUGAGACUGGUUUCUCCAGGGCUGGGGCUGAGACAGCCCCCUCCGAUGGGCUGAGAUCAUCGGAUCGGCCAGUCGCCGUAGCCAUUCUACCUGAAAGUGGCCCUGAGAAUCUCCAGUUUUCCCAGUCACCAAAUAUGUUGCUGCGUGCACCAGCGUGAAAAGUGCAACCUCAUUGUUAGAAAGGUUGUGGGAGGUGAAAGUGACAUAGGGGUUACUGUGGUGGGGGUUUACGUUAGAAUUUGUGACCCUGCAGGAAUCCCUACAUGAUGGCAUGGAGUUUCUCAGGACCACCUUCGGGCACAAAAGUUGCUGUAACCAUCGGAUAGGUCACCACAGGAUUAGCAGUCUGCUGACGAGGCACAACGGUGAGUCUGUGGGUCUUCUACAACAUCAAGCCCUGCAAAUAUGGUCAACCCUGCACUGUGAAGACGGGCCAUUCCAAUGAGACCAGGGCAAGGAACAAAAUAGUUCACUGUGGUCUGCUCCUUCUCCCGAUAGCUUCCUUGCUCUCUCUUUCCUACUCUGUUCCAGAAUUGGUAUUGCUUGCUCACUGCCAUGAAGAUGGAGGCAGUAAGCGUUCUGAAGCAUCAGACAACUUCUGUGUAUGGCUUCAUCCCCAAAGACAGUCAUCAAAGUUAAAAUUUGUUAACUGAAUACACUUUUACAUUGGCAGUGCUUAGGGUCUCAUUAUCAAUCUUUGGAUACAAGAAGCAGGAAAGCUUUUCAGUAGCGCCAUCCAAUUUUACAUAAUUUCACAACUGAUAAUUCCACGUCUUCAUUCAAGUCCUGCUCUAAUGGCCUUUUGACGACCUUCUCUAUCCUAAAAUUCACGCUUCGACCGCGCAAUGCGUGCAUCACGGAAUGCGUGUUGUACUUGGAAUCUAAUUUUCUCCUCUUGCAUCUCUUUGAAUCUCUCUUUCAAACAUUUCACUUCAAUAACUUUUCUUUCUAUUGUCGAGUACAAUUUUUUCAUGUCAUUCGCUUGCGCUGAAAUCUCCUUCACCUUGAAAAUGAACAGCAGUUACAUAAAUGAUUCGUAUAUUUUGCAUUUUGAAUGACUUAAUGCAUUUAAAGUUGUCUGCGUCAUUGAGUGCACUAAAACUUCGUAUGUUGACGGUGUUUCAAUUAACCAGUCCCAUAAUGCCGUGAUAAAGUAAAUUCAACUGAUAUCGUGUAAGGUUUAUCAGGUUAACUGCUCUGAUUAAUCAGGACUGUCAGUGCAUUUAAUAGAAUAAACCAAAGCUUAAAAACGAAAUUUGGAAGUCUUGAUUGGCUUUUUGUGGUUUUGUUCAGUCUCUCCAGACAAAUGCCAGGUUAGACCUUGAAACACGCUAUGCCACUUUAUUUCAAAUGUCUUAACUACCCACCAUUUAUAAGCUUCUUCACAUAUCUAAAAUCAUUAAACUUUUAAGGACAAGAAUUUGCAUUGCUGACAUAUCACACAACCCGUCCGUUCGGUCGUCAGCCGUUGCCGGCUUACUAGCUCUCGCAACUGUUCAUUCUUAUUACGGGCGGCUGUUGGUGAUGCCCGGAGGACGAGCACCUCAUCCCGCUACACAAGAAAGAAGAUACACAUUCUUUAGGCAGUGUUGCGAAACCUUUGGCCUUUAAGCAAACGGAUACAUGUGAGUUUCAGAAUGUACAGGCCUACUGGUGAUUCUGUCUGCUGUUAUGUGAGAUGAAGAAAGCAUCUAGUAAAAUACUUGGAACGAUGAUUGAUAAAGUUCAUGUUCAUGUACUUGUAGCAAAAGCCUACAAAAUGAAUACUCAAUUUUGGUGGGAAACAUGGGAACAUAGGUAUGAGUACCUAUGCAGAUGCAGAAAGGAAUAAAUAAGAAAUGUUUUAAUGGCUCAACGGAACCAAAGCUGUGAAUGGUUAUUUAAACCUUCAAAGAUGCGGAAUGAACCAGUAUUGACUUAUUUUAAGGAUGUAUCUCAUCGCUUUCCUGGACAGGAUGAUAAAAAAGGGGAGGAGACUAUAACAAACGCACAAACAAACAACCAAAGAAUGAUAUUCCUGAUCUCCGGCCAAAGAAUCGAACCAGGACCAAUGCAAGACGACAGAAGUUCACUCUCAAGCUUAUGGUGACUUUUUACAGGAAUGAUUAUAACGAAUGAGGAGGGACUGGACAGAAACCUGUUUUUGUUUCUCACCACCAAACGUCCUGUUAAGCAGAUAACAGGUGACCUCUUCCUGCAGUAAGUGACCAGUGGGUGGAAGGCACCGGUCACCCGCAGGUAGCGCCGACUUUAAGAAUACGUGGAAAUUUACCUCCACGCCCCAUGUAUGUCUUCUUGGUGUGGUGCUUAGCCACACAAAGACAACAAAUUCAUGUCUGUUUUACCUCUUACAUUUAAGUGACAGAUGCUGUCAUUACAAGGAAUUCUGCUCAAGACAUGAAAUUACAAAAAUCUUUGGACUGCACUUAUUACUUACAGCUGCUUUGCUGACUUAUUCCAAGGAUUUAGCUCUGUCCUGCGCCUCCUUCAUGUGGUUCUCAGCUGAUUUCAGCUGUACCUGAGUAGCCUGCUGUUCAGUCAGAGCUCAGCUUCUUGCCCAUUGUGUUUUGAUUCUGCAGAUAAGCGCAGACAGAACAGGUCCAGGGAUGGCCAAAUUAGUGAUCAGAUUAUGCAGAACGUACAACACACAAGAGAAGUGGUUUAGUACGGAAACAUCUUAAUUACAAAGGGACGUGACAGUUAUAAAAUGCAAAUGCCGUGGCAUUAAUAGACGUCACGUCACUCGCUACAUGUUCAGCAGAAUUCAAUGGUUACCGCCAUUAUCAACACUUUUGCAUUCAACGUCAGGUGUGCUGGAAGCUUGUUGGAGCAUCGCUGGUGUUGACGAUGCAGCGAUUCUUGCCUUUUAACUCAGAAACACAGUGCAUGUGUAUGUGCUAAGCUGUUCUUUCACAAAAGCCUGAAACAUGUUAUCAGAUGUGGCUGAUCAAGUGUGGACAUCUGAGAGGCCAGGAGAGGGGUCCAAUUUGGUCCACUCGACAGUGGAAAUUGGUUAUUAAUAAAAGCAUGCACAUCACCAGCAUAAUGUGCCUGAGCCGUGUAUUGUUGCAGAAUUACGCUUUUAAGAAGAUCCACAUUCUCAAGAUCUGUAAUUAGCCAAUUGGACGACAGCUUCAGAUAAUAAAAUCUCAGGCUAUCGGCCGCAUCAAGUGGUUAAAACACGAAAAGACCAACAUUUUGAGGUCCAUCUCUGUCCUCGUCCUCAGGGUACUGAAGUGGUUGGGGCUCUCCACCGUAUCAUAUAUAUAUAUACCUGCUCCAGCCCCGUGUGACUGGUGGAUGACAUCACGAGCUUGCCUUGUUAUGCUCAGCUUACUGGUUAGACAACAUAUUCAACACAGGAAACCAGUCCCGGCUUAGCAUAAAACCUCCGUCUUUGUUGAUAUUUGCGGUAUUCAAUCGGAUUUCAGUUGCCUACUUUUAGUAGUCUCUGACACAUUAAAGAAAAAUGGUCCAAUGAUCACUUCACUCGUGGUGACUCCAGCCCAUAUCAUGACACGAGGUGGACGCUAUGUUACUUCAGAGGAAUGUGGAUAUUGUUUAGCCCACAUAUAAAUAUUUCACAAACUUGCCCUGAGAUGUACCACAAGCAUUCAUCAGUAACAGAGCAUUGCAGCAGGAUGCUAAGGUUGGAAAGCUAUGCAGUAAAGUUGCACAAGCCACGUGUCCAUGUUAUGAUCACAUAUUUCACUCAUAAAUGUGAGCUGAUACUUUCUUCCUAUUCAGUGCUAUCUGCUGAUUUUUUACCGCUCGUGAUUUUAUUUAUUUUGUAUCCAAAUACACACCAUUCGAAGUAUAAAUCAUUAAAUAGAGUAAUAUUAAUAAAAUAGAAAUAAAAAAAAAGGAAGUUGAGGAAAAUUUAGUAUAGAAUAAAUAUAAAGGUAAAUUUACAACAAAACUAUAUUUUAAUCCAAUAUCGGGCAUGAAGAAUGGCAGUGUCUGUACGUGUAGCCAAAUCUUCGCUUGUGCAGGGAGAAUCUAAGAUGGGGCAAGCCAGGAGGUGAUCCAUUGUCUGUGUUUGUCCACAGGAACACUGGUCAGACACACAAGGAUAUCCCCACCUUAUUAGGUUUGCCGCACACCUGCCAGUAUAGGAACGGAGUCUGUUUAAAGUUUUCCAGGUAGGCCAGUCUAAUUCAGAACCUGGAGGAAGGACUUCCUUGGGCUCUAGACCCUGAAGGUCCUGAGUGUCUAUUUCACCACUUCUUAUUUUCCAUAGCUUGGUUCUUUCAUCUUUCUGGUUCCCCUGGAGUGGUGAGGUUCCUUCUAGAUUUGAGUCUUUGGUUUGGGAGAAUUUGCCCAUGUAAGGGGUGUCUUGGGUCUUCCAUUUGCUUUCUUCUUUGGCACGGACAUCUCUUCUGGUAUCUGGUGGAGCAAUUCCAGAAAGGAGGUAGAGUUGUCAAUCCUUGUAGGCCUAAGGCAGCCAGUAAUGUGUCGGCAACUCUGAUUCAGGGCAUUGUCCAGUUUUGAGGUAUGACAUGACCUUCCCCAGACAGGGCUGGCAUACUCAGCAACAGUAAAACAAAGUGACAAAGCUGUGGUGCGUAGCACAUGAGCAUUGGCUCCCCAUUUUGUAGUUUUUAGCCUCUCUGUAAGAUGCCAUUACGAGUGUUGACCUUAGCUUUGGUCUUUUCAAUAUGUUUUUUGUAGGUGAGUGUGCAGUCAAGUGUAACACCGAGAUAAACUGGGUUGUGGCAGUUGGUUAGUUUAUUUCGACCCCACUAGCUGGUAGUUUGCUCUCCUGUUAUUUAGAUGAAAAAGGUUUUUGAAGACUUGGCCUAGAGUUUAUUUGCUUGGUAAUAAUCUGUCAAUGAUUUGAGUGCUAGUCUCAAAGUAUUUUCUAUUGUUUGAAAAUUUUUAGAUUGAGUGGCCACGGCUAAAUCAUCUGCAUAAAUAAAACUUCGUGUUUCAGAGGCUAUUGGUUGGUCAUUUGUAUAGAUGUUAAAGAGUAAUGAGGCUAAAACACUUCCCUGGGGAAGGCCAUUUCUUUGCGUGCGCCAUUUGCUUCUCUUCCCACGUAGGUUGACAUAAAAGCGCCGAUUUUCCAGUAGAGAUCUGGAGAGCUCAAUUAGUUUGUAAUCAAGUGUAUGUUGGUAUAUUUUGUUAAGGAGUGAUCUAUGAUUGACUGUAUCAUAUGCUGCUGUUAGGUCAACAAAGACCACCCCAGUCGCCUGUACGGUCUCAAAACCAUUUUCAAUAAAUUGAGUUCGAUUGAGAAUUUGACUAGUACACGAUUUCCCUGGUCUGAAGCCCGCUUCUUCUGGAAUAAGGUGAUCUUCAGCUCUUUCCUUCUUCCAGUGUCUCAGUGUGGACAGAUCUUCGCCACGUCUGCCUGGGUCUCCCUCUCUUCCUUCUCCCCUGCAGAUUCCAGUCCAAGACCUCUCUAUGACUUAUGUCUGUAAUGUACAAAUUACUUUGUGCAAGAUCUUCCUUCAGUAGUAUAUAGUAAUUUUACUGAUAGAGAAAUUACCUCUAUGUUACAGAACCUGAAGGUUUUUCACUGCAUUUACAAAUAGCUUUACUGUAAUCAUGAAUAUCAUAUUUUAUCAUAUCCAAACUUCAUACGUAACACAAUCUUCUAUGUAAUCUCUCUAAUGCUGUACAUCUCUGGACCUUUUGGCAUUUCCACCCAAUUCUGGACAUUUUCCUUCACACUGUGUUUAUAAAUACCUACAGUUUAACUCAGACUAAACUGUUAUGUUUUACAGCAACAAAAUGGGCAAAAUAAGUCAAAUGAUCAGGUUUUAAACUUGACACAUCCAUGGUCAGACAUAAAUAGUUCAUUUUUUGUUAAACUAUUUCUCUUUUUCUAACAUUAGUUAACCCAUGUUUCUUACCACAGUUAUGUACAGUUGCUUCCGAAUCAUUUUGGAUGGCAUACACGAGAAACAUUAAACUACUGAUGCACCACCCCAUUUCUCCGUGCUCAGUAAUAUACUCGUAAUGUCAGUCUGUUGUAAAAACAUAGUUGUUACUAGAACAUCAAUGUCAUUAGACACAAAACUAUGUCUCACCGGCCACCAGUUAUUUUCAUCCGCCAUAACUUUCUAAUCGACAAAUGUAACAAACCUAGUGUUACUGUUCCUACACUGACUCAUUUAUGACUGACUGACUCUUUAAAUGAUUACUGAGGAUGACAGCAGAAGACUCUUAUGGAACAGAAUUUAUUUAAUUUAACCAUGAUGCGUAUAUAGCUUCAAGAUAUUUCGUUGAACAAAAUACGUAUUCUCUAAAAACUGCCAUACUGAGAAGUACAGCAUAAUUAGAUCAAUAUUUCUGUGGUUUCUAAUGUCAUGUUACCUGUAACUGUGUCACUGGCAUUUGAGUUGGCUUCAACUGCCCCUGUGGGAGUAAAGGGGACUAUUUAUUCUCCUGAAAUCAGUUACAUCACUCCCCUCCACUGGGUCCACAUAUUCACCAGUUGAGUUCGGUACUCUGCCUUGCGGACUAUCGCGUCUUGAGUACUCUUCCACAACGCUUUCUUGAAGUAAAAACUUAAGCAGUUUUCAAUUUACAUUCUUUGCUUUCUUAUAAGCCCCCAGAGGUUGUACUGUUCAUUUAUUGCACAUAUGAACAUGCUGCUCCAUAGGCAAAUAGUCCUUCCUCUUUCUAUUGCAUAGUCACAUCAAAAAGUGUAAUAUAAAAUGGCGAUUAAUUAGACAAAUGCGGCAGGAAAUUAAAUUUGCCCAACAGCGUUCAGUGAAUUCACAUCAAAUACCAAAUUUCAUUGAAAUCAUUCAAUACUUCCACAAACGAAACUUGCAGUGAGCAUGCACACUCUGAUUACCGACAGUGCUCUACUUUACAACAUGGAAAGUUGGCACAGACUUGGAGAUUCUCACCAGUUCUUCAGCUAAUUUUUUCUUCACUGCAGAAUGGUGGCUUAGCUUAAUGAGCAUCAGACUCAGUUUUCACUAACUUGUAUUUCAUCAGGCUUUCCAACAUCUCUGUCUUUGCUUUAUCAUUUCCUCAGAGUUUAUUACCGGUGGAUUUCCUACACCAAAAUCCUGCGGGAUAGGAGUGUAAAAUUUGUUUGAGGCACCAAUGAAAUGCAUAUCAGAUCAGCCAUGCUUACUCGUACCUUGCACACAGAAGAUAUGGUACAGCGUGUUUUCAUUUCUCCCUGAAUCUCACGUCUUCCUUUACUCAAGUUCAGGCUCGAUGAACAUUGUAACAUCAUAACAUGGAAAGUUUGGACGGACUUGGAGAUUCUCACCAGUUCUUUAGCUAAUUUUUUCUUCAGAAUGGUGGCUUAGCAUAAUGAGCAUCAGACUCAGUUUUCACUAACUUGUAUUCCAUCAGGCUGUCCAACAUCUCUGUCUUUGCUUUAACAUUUCCUCAGAGUUUAUUACUGGUGGAUUUUCUACACCGAAAUCCUGCGGGAUAGGAGUGUAAAAUUUGUUUGAGGCACCAAUGAAAUGGAUAUCAGAUCCACCAUGCUUCCUCGUACCUUGCACACAGAAGAUAUGGUACAGCGUGUUUUCAUUUCUCCCUGAAUCUCACGUCUUCCAUUACUCAAGUUCAGGCUCGAUGAACAUUGUAAUAUAAUAACAUUGAAAGUUGGAACGGACUUGGAGAUUCUCACCAGUUCUUCAGGUAAUUCUUUCUUCACUGCAGGCUUAAUGCGUCCUCGUACCUCGCACACAGAAGUUAUGGUACAACGUGUUUUCAUUUCUCCCUGAAUCUCACGUCUUCCAUUACUCAAGUUCAGGCUCGAUGUACAUUGUAAUAUAAUAACAUUGAAAGUUGGCACAGACUUGGAGAUUCUCACCAGUUCUUUAGGUAAUUCCAUGUUCACAUGGGGGCUUCCUGCUUCUUGGUAUCUUGCACGUAAAUGAUUCGGUACCACAUGUUCGCAUUUCUCUCCUCAUUUCACUGUUGCCUUUACCCGAUUUCAGGCUAAGCAUACCAACUGAAAGAAAUAAAAUUUGUAGGAUAGAAGAAAUCAGUUACCAAAUUCCCUAUCCUUAAGCAAGCCAUGAAGAUGUAUGUGGGAAUAAAGGUAAAGCUCCAUGCAUUCUAAUACUGGCAGUAGGCAGAGGUGAUUGGUAAACUUCAUGCUCUGUUCCCAUUACCUCUUGGAGAAAGUAAUUCAUUUCUCUUUCAGUGAGUUUUCUCCAUGCUUUUCAAACUUUUUUUUCAUAGACUUGUAGUUAGUUACCAUUCUCUCUUGGGAAAGUUAUCACCUCAGUCUUUACACUUUUACCCACAUAAUCGUGGUUUUACAUUUCUCUGUAAUGACCUACAAGCAUGCCUGGCCUCACAACCCAUGUUAAACAUCGUUAUUUCAAUGCCAGGGUCCCUCAGAUAUAUGUAUAUUCUGACACCAGAGAGUGCUGGCUGUUAAGGGCCACAGUAUAAUAUGAGCAUGUCCAGAAAUAUCCAUGGACCUCAUCCUUCAGUAUAUUCGUCAUCCACCCACAUAUGAACAUUGUUCUUGGAUCGCAGUGAACUUCGGUAUAUUCAACACGUUUUUUAAUGACAAGAUAAACAGAAAAACAUUCCAGGUGUUGUAAAAAAGUAUUAUGCAGAAGAAAGGAAAACCAGAGUUUGGAUAGAAUACUGGUUACAGGACAGUGCAAAGAGUCACAUCGAGUUUUAUUGAAAUAUUUGGAGCAUACGAUUUCAACAUUUAUUUCAGCGUGGACAAGGCAGCAUUUUACAUAGUGUUCAUCCAAUGUUUGAUAAACUUCAAUAAAUUCUCCCCAGAACAUUUGAACAUUACUACAUUUCAUUUGUAAUUAGUUUUUUUUUUGUUUUAAUGUGACUCUCAUCCCACAAAUGUGUAAUGUUAUUAUCAACUGUAAUAAAAUGAAAAGGAUGUA